UCAGAAUCAUUUGGAUCUAUUAAGAAGUCAUGAGAAUUUUACUACAUUUUACGCGAAAUUAUUCAUUCAUACUACUAUAUAUAUAUAUGUACAUAUUCUAUUUCUCGGCUUGAUCAUUCCAUCAUCUUAACAUCAUUAUGAUGUCAUCAGCUGUGCCGGCCCAGGCAGGCACCUUCUCUACCAGGAUCAGGAAUUCAGGAUACAUCACAAUGCCCAUGAAGUCGUUGAGAGGUAGCCGUCAGCACCCACUUCAUCACUUUCGGCGAAGUGUCUCGCAGCUCAGCUUCUUCACUCGUUUCUGUGCCUGGCGAUGAUGCUCUAGCCUGCAGAGACUCGUUCGUAUAUAUAUUCUCCUCACUAUUAGUUUGUACCCAAGUGCAGGUUUGGUUGAAUAAAUUGACACAAGCAAGAGGCCAAAGCAGCUUACAGAGAACGAAGCUAUAGCUAGCUGAAAUGGAGGCUAGGAGCUUACUGGUGGUGAUCGUCGUUGGGUGCUGUGCCUGCUGGGGUUGCCGCGCGCAGAUCCCGAUCCCGGCAAGGAUGGACGGGUUCGUGUACGGCGGGAAGCCGCCGCCGGCGUGGGGCGAGACGGUGGUGGUAGAGGCGUUCUUGGAC
rnacentral:lncRNA from 1 species